rnacentral:lncRNA from 1 species
CCUGGAGGUCCCUGGCCAGGUCUGGCUCUGGGUGCUGGGUGCACCCAACCUCCUCACCCUCCAGUAGUUCCUGGCAUUCUCAGAAGGAGGCUUUGCUGUGAGCUGUCUGAUCUUCCUUUGAAGAACAGAAAUGAGCUCAUUGGGAAGCAGGCUCUCCCUUUGUGGGGGCACCUUCCCUUGACAAGCCGUGAAGGUCAUCCAGUGCAGACCACGAGCACUGAGACCCAGAGGGGAGGGAACACUUGACUUGUCACGCCCCCACCCCCCACCUUGUGAGCUUGGGAAAGUCACUCACUUCACUGCUCUAAGCCUGGGACUCCUCAUCUCUAAAACAGGGAUAAAAAUAACCCCCAUCUGUGAAGAUGAAAUGAGGUAGGUACAUGAGGGCUUGGCAGACCAGUGAGGGACAGUGGAAAGUAGCCCAGCUUUGGCGUCAGAGGACCCAGGUUCAAAUCCUGACCUUGGCCAGUCACUUUUCUGGCCUCAGUUUUCUGAGCCAGACUCAUUGACCUCUGAGGUCCUCAUUGACCUGCGAGCUCCAAGGCUAUGAUCUUAAGGUCUAGAAUAAUGUCAUCUCUGCUCAUUCCUCUGGUCUGUUUCUUUGGGCUGCAGAACUACUCAGAAGCAGCUUCCUGCUCCUCUCCCCUGCCCCCACAGGAGACCUCAGCAGCCCGACCACAGAGUUGAAUGACCCGUUGGACACCCAAGCUGCAAAUUAAGUUUCAAAACCGUGAUGGAAGGGACCUUGAAGAAAAAGCAAAUUCCUGGGCCUUCUCUUUGAACCCCAGCUCAAUCUCUCCAAAGUCUCUUCCGGUCUUAUGUAAAAAAUGUCUUUAUGCAGAGAGAACUGGUGGGAACGCUCUUGCCCAGUAACUGAGGGAGCCGGCACAUUUUGCUUGGCAAAUGGAAAGGCUCAAAACUCCUGGGGGCACAGAGGUAGCACACAGGAGCUGGAGGGAACAGAAUCAGGGCAGACCACCAGGCUGGCCGUCCACCUUCUCACCCGAAGGCUUGUAGGUGGGGGCUCCUAGUGUGUCCGAGCCUCGCCCCGUCGUGGGGUCUGGGCUGGGAGGCGGCCAAAGAAGAAGGAUCGCCCUCUUGGCCGUUCUUCCCACCCAACCUGGCUUGGCAUCUAGGAGGCUCCCGAUGCUGCUGUAAGGUCAGUAUAUGAAAACCUUUAUGCCCGGAAAGUUUGGCCUGGAGGUAUUCACAAGGUUGUUUUCUCUUUCUGGAAUAUUCUAGGAGAGCUUAAAAGCAGAACCCCUGUCUCAGAGCCAAAGGGGUCUCACAGGCCACCGGAUCCUCCCCAGCCCACACAGCUGACUGGUCAUGCGGCCCCACCCCCUUUUUCAGUUCUUUUGGGAGUUUCGUCUCCCCCCCCCCGAAGAGGUCUAGGGGUUUUGGGGUGCUGGGACCCCAAGAUCGUGGUACUGGGCCCUGCCUGAAAGAAUUCAACUCAAAUCUUCUUCAGCCAGAGGAAAAGUUUAUUAGUGGUAAAUCAUAUAGGCCGGGUGACGCCCGUAAGGACGAGUGGGCAUGAGAGGUUCUCAGCCUUUUGAGCGUGAGAUUCUCAGCAUCUGAAUGAGGGCCAAGGUGGAUCUUAAAUACUAAAGUAACUUUGGGUGGCCAGAGAAGGGGGUUGGGUAAAGGGUGUAGGUAACAAUUCUAAUUGGGGAGGUCGGUGAGAUUGAAUAGACAAUGGGAAUAGAUAAUGGAGGAACAGGAAGGCAGAAGUUUGAAAGGCAUCUGCACAAAAUCAAGGUGGGGCUAGGACUUUCAAAAGGAGACAAAGGAAGGCCUUUCUGGGGCCUAUAGACAAGAGGGAGCCUAAGGCUUUUAGGGCACAUCUGAAUAAGAUUAAAAGGUAAAGCUAAGGCUUUCAAAGGGAGAUGAGGGUCUGGGGCCUGUGAGUCAGAUUCCCUUUGAGGCAAAGGGUGAAGAUCUUGGCUUGGGCCCUGCCCUCAUCACCCCCACCCCGUUCAGCUCUGAAGUUCUUGAAGGCACCAUCUUUCCUUUUGCUCGUAUUUGUAU